GUAACAGUAGUACACAUGCUAGUCGUACGGGGUCACCCGUUUCGGUCUGGUGGCGAGUGGCGAACGGGUGAGUAAUGUAUCGGAACGUGCCCAGUACCGGGGGAUAACUACGCGAAAGCGUAGCUAAUACCGCAUACGCCCUACGGGGGAAAGCAGGGGAUCGCAAGACCUUGCACUAUUGGAGCGGCCGAUAUCGGAUUAGCUAGUUGGUGGGGUAACGGCUCACCAAGGCGACGAUCCGUAGCUGGUUUGAGAGGACGACCAGCCACACUGGGACUGAGACACGGCCCAGACUCCUACGGGAGGCAGCAGUGGGGAAUUUUGGACAAUGGGGGAAACCCUGAUCCAGCCAUCCCGCGUGUGCGAUGAAGGCCUUCGGGUUGUAAAGCACUUUUGGCAGGAAAGAAACGUCAUGGGCUAAUACCCCGUGAAACUGACGGUACCUGCAGAAUAAGCACCGGCUAACUACGUGCCAGCAGCCGCGGUAAUACGUAGGGUGCAAGCGUUAAUCGGAAUUACUGGUCGUAAAGCGUGCGCAGGCGGUUCGGAAAGAAAGAUGUGAAAUCCCAGAGCUUAACUUUGGAACUGCAUUUUUAACUACCGGGCUAGAGUGUGUCAGAGGGAGGUGGAAUUCCGCGUGUAGCAGUGAAAUGCGUAGAUAUGCGGAGGAACACCGAUGGCGAAGGCAGCCUCCUGGGAUAACACUGACGCUCAUGCACGAAAGCGUGGGGAGCAAACAGGAUUAGAUACCCUGGUAGUCCACGCCCUAAACGAUGUCAACUAGCUGUUGGGGCCUUCGGGCCUUGGUAGCGCAGCUAACGCGUGAAGUUGACCGCCUGGGGAGUACGGUCGCAAGAUUAAAACUCAAAGGAAUUGACGGGGACCCGCACAAGCGGUGGAUGAUGUGGAUUAAUUUGAUGCAACGCGAAAAACCUUACCUACCCUUGACAUGUNUGGAAUGCCGAAGAGAUUUGGCAGUGCUCGCAAGAGAACCGGAACACAGGUGGUGCAUGGCUGUUGUCAGCUCGUGUCGUGAGAUGUUGGGUUAAGUCCCGCAACGAGCGCAACCCUUGUCAUUAGUUGGUACGAAAGGGCACUCUAAUGAGACUACCGGUGACAAACCGGAGGAAGGUGGGGAGGAGGUCAAGUCCUCAUGGCCCUUAUGGGUAGGGGUUCGCACGUCAUCCAAUGGUCGGGACAGAGGGUCGCCAACCCGCGAGGGGGAGCCAAUCCCAGAAACCCGAUCGUAGUCCGGAUCGCAGUCUGCAACUCGACUGCGUGAAGUCGGAAUCGCUAGUAAUCGCGGAUCAGCAUGUCGCGGUGAAUACGUUCCCGGGUUUUGUACACACCGCCCGUCACACCAUGGGAGUGGGUUUUACCAGAAGUAGUAUGAGUAAGAUGCAAGCUCGGAAUAAGAGCGACACACCAAAUAGG
rnacentral:rRNA from 1 species